CAGUAGGGAUCUUCCACAAUGGACGAAAGUCUGAUGGAGCAACGCCGCGUGAGUGAAGAAGGUUUUCGGAUCGUAAAACUCUGUUGUUGGAGAAGAAUGUAUCUGAUAGUAACUGAUCAGGUAGUGACGGUAUCCAACCAGAAAGCCACGGCUAACUACGUGCCAGCAGCCGCGGUAAUACGUAGGUGGCAAGCGUUGUCCGGAUUUAUUGGGCGUAAAGCGAGCGCAGGCGGUUUCUUAAGUCUGAUGUGAAAGCCUUCGGCUCAACCGAAGAAGUGCAUCGGAAACUGGGAAACUUGAGUGCAGAAGAGGACAGUGGAACUCCAUGUGUAGCGGUGAAAUGCGUAGAUAUAUGGAAGAACACCAGUGGCGAAGGCGGCUGUCUGGUCUGUAACUGACGCUGAGGCUCGAAAGCAUGGGUAGCAAACAGGAUUAGAUACCCUGGUAGUCCAUGCCGUAAACGAUGAGUGCUAGGUGUUGGAGGGUUUCCGCCCUUCAGUGCCGCAGCUAACGCAUUAAGCACUCCGCCUGGGGAGUACGACCGCAAGGUUGAAACUCAAAGGAAUUGACGGGGCCCCCCCACA
rnacentral:rRNA from 1 species